GCGACCGUGGCGGAAUGGUAGACGCGCAAGCUUGAGGUGCUUGUGGGGAAAUACCCCGUGGAAGUUCGAGUCUUCUCGGUCGCACCA
rnacentral:tRNA from 7 species